AUUGAACGCUGGCGGCAUGCCUAACACAUGCAAGUCGAGCGAGCGGCGGACGGGUGAUUAAUGUAUGGGGACUGCCCGAUAGAGGGUGAUAACUACUGGAAACGGUUGCUAAUACCGCAUACUAUCGGAUAACCCAUAUGGGAUUAGCUAGUAGGUGGGGUAAAGGCUCACCUAGGCGACGUUCUCUAGCUGGUCUGUGAGGAUGAUCAGCCGCAUUGGGAGUGAGACACGGACCAGACUCCUACGGAGGGAGCAGUGGGGAAUAGUGCACAAUGGGCGGAAGCAUGAUGCAGCCGUGCCGCGUGUAUGAAGAAGGCCUUAGGGUUGGAAAGUACUUUCAGCGGGGAGGCGUUACACGCAGAAGAAGCACCGGCUAACUCCGUGCCAGCAGCCGCGGUAAUUC
rnacentral:rRNA from 1 species